rnacentral:rRNA from 1 species
GUAACCACUGCNCCGUUGGUGAACCGCGGAAGGAUCCUUACCGAGGACUUUUUCUCAUUACCCUUUGUUAACUAUUAUACCUGUUGCUUCCGCGGCGCCCGCCAGGGUGCCCGCCGGUCUCAUCUUAAUCUCUGUUUUCCAACCCCACCAUACUUCUGAAUGUUCUUACCGAACUGUCAAAACUUUUAACCACGGAUCUCUUGGCUCCCGCAUCCAUGAAGAACGCAACGAAACGCGAUAUGUAAUGUGAAUUGCAAAAUUCAGUGAAUCAUCCAAUCUUUUAACGCACAUGGCGCCUUCCAGUAUCCUGGGAGGCAUGCCUGUCCAAGCGUCGUUUCAACCCUCGAGCCCCUGUGGCCCGGCGUUGGGGAUCUGCCACGGCCGGCCCCUAAAACCAGUGGCGGACCCUAAAGGCCCUCUCCUUUGCGCAAUAACCUUCCCCUCGCAUCGGGAGUCCCCAGCGUCCUGCCUCUAAACCCCCCACAAGCCCCCCUCGGCGGCACCCAGGUUGACCUCGGAUCAAGUAGGAAUACCCGCUGAACUUAAACAUAUCAAUAAGCGGAUGAAAAGAAACCAACAGGGAUUGCCCCAGUAACGGCG